CCUACGGGGGGCAGCAGUGAGGAAUAUUGGUCAAUGGGCGAGAGCCUGAACCAGCCAAGUCGCGUGAGGGAGUACUGCCCUAUGGGUUGUAAACCUCUUUUGUCGGGGAGCAAAAGCCGGACGUGUCCGGCUGUGAGAGUACCCGAAGAAAAAGCAUCGGCUAACUCCGUGCCAGCAGCCGCGGUAAUACGGAGGAUGCGAGCGUUAUCCGGAUUUAUUGGGGUUAAAGGGUGCGCAGGCGGAGUUUUAAGUCAGCGGUCAAAUCGUGGGGCUCAACCCCAUCCAGCCGUUGAAACUGGGGAUCUAGAGUGUGCGAGAGGUAUGCGGAAUGCGUGGUGUAGCGGUGAAAUGCAUAGAUAUCACGCAGAACCCCGAUUGCGAAGGCAGCAUACCGGUGCACAACUGACGCUCAGGCACGAAAGCGUGGGUAUCGAACAGGAUUAGAUACCCCAGUAGUC
rnacentral:rRNA from 1 species